AUGCCCUACACAGAGGCGGUGAUCCACGAGAUCCAAAGAUUUGGAGACAUGAUCCCCAUGGGCGUGGCCCGGAGAAUCACCAAGGACACCAAGUUUCGAGAGUUCCUCCUCCCCAAGCAACGGGGAGCAAGCCAAGCAGCUCCGGUGCUUCUCCAUCACCACACUGCACAACAGAUGUACAACUCUCUCAUGAAGAUCAGCGAGCGAUAUGGCCCGGCCUUCACGGUCCACCUGGGGCCCCGGCGCAUCGUGGUGCUGUGUGGAUACAAGGCGGUGAAGGAGGCUCUGGUGGACCAGGCUGAGGAGUUCAGCGGCCGAGGUGAGCAGGCCACCUUGGACUAUCUCUUCAAAGGCUAUGGUGAGGCGCUCCGGGAGCAGAACAACCCCAACACGGAGUUCUACAUGAAGAACCUGGUGCUGACCACACUGAACCUCUUCUUUGCGGGCACUGAGACGGUCAGCACAACCCUGCGGUACGGCUUCCUGCUGCUCAUGAAGCACCCAGAGGUGGAGGCCAAGGUCCAUGAGGAGAUUGACCGGGUGGUUGGCACGAACCGUCAGCCCAAGUUUGAGGACAAGGCCAAGAUGCCCUACACAGAGGCAGUGGUCCAGGAGAUCCAAAGUUUUGGAGACUUGAUCCCUAUGGGCGUGGCCCGCAGAGUCACCAAGGACACCAAGUUUCGAAAGUUCCUCCUCCCCCAGGGCACUGAAGUGUUCCCUAUGCUGGGCUCUGUGCUGAGAGACCCCAAGUUCUUCUCCAACCCCUGAGACUUCCACACCCAGCACUUCCUGGAUGAGAACGGGCAGUUUAAGAAGAGUGAUGCUUUUGUGCCCUUCUCCAUUGGAAAGCGGUACUGUUUUGGCGAAGGCCUGGCUAGAAUGGAGCUCUUUCUCUUCCUCACCACCAUCUUGCAGAACUUCUGCUUCAAGUCCCCGCAGCUGCCCCAAGACAUCGACGUGUCCCCCAAGCUCGUGGGCUUUGCUACCAUCCCACGAAAUUACACCAUGAGCUUCCAGACCCGCUGA